rnacentral:piRNA from 1 species
UCCGAGUCUAAAUCGCUCUUAGUGAUGUCA